GAAGGGUCUGGGCUCGAGCCUGCCUGGAGCCGCCGCCGGUGCAGAUCUUGGUGGUAGUAGCAAAUACUCCAGCGAGGCCCUGGAGGACUGAUGUGGAGAAGGGUUUCGUGUGAACAGCCGUUGCACACGAGUCAGUCGAUCCUAAGCCCUAGGAGAAAUCCGACGCCUACGGCGACGGGAUUUUUGAAAAUUUUUAUUGACCCGUUGAUCGGGCGAAAGGGAAUCCGGUUCCUAUUCCGGAACCCGGCAGCGGAACCGCUGUUUGUCGGGCCCUCACAAGGGGUUCGUCAGGGUAACCUAAAAGGGCCCGGAGACGCCGUCGGGAGCCCCGGAAAGAGUUUUCUUUUCUGCAUGAGCGUUCGAGUUCCCUGGAAUCCUCUCGCAGGGAGAUAGGGUUUGGAACGCGAAGAGCACCGCAGUUGCGGCGGUGCCCGGGAAUUCCCGACGGACCUUGAAAAUCCGGGAGAGGGCCACGUGGAGGUGUCGCGCCGGCUCGUACCCAUAUCCGCAGCAGGUCUCCAAGGUGAAGAGCCUCUAGUCGAUAGAAUAAUGUAGGUAAGGGAAGUCGGCAAAUCGGAUCCGUAACUUCGGG
rnacentral:rRNA from 1 species